GACGAACGCUGGCGGCGUGCUUAACACAUGCAAGUCGAACGGAAAGGCCCUGCUUUUGUGGGGUGCUCGAGUGGCGAACGGGUGAGUAACACGCGAGUAACCUGCCCCUGACUUUGGGAUAACUUCAGGAAACUGGGGCUAAUACCGGAUAGGAGCUCCUGCUGCAUGUUGUUGGUUGGAAAGUUUCGGCGGUUGGGGAUGGACUCGCGGGUUAUCAGCUUGUUUGUGUGGUAGUUGCUUACCAAGGCUUUGACGGCUAGCCGGCCUGGGAGGGUGGACGGCGACAUUGGGACUGAGGUACGGAGCAGACUCGUACGGGCGGCAGUGGGGGGGAAUAUGACAGAGUGGGCGGAAGCGUGAUGCAGCAACGCCGCGUGCGGGAUGACGGCCUUCGGGUUGUAAACCGAUGUGGAAUGUGACGUGGCGUGAGUGACGGUAAUGGGUAAAGAAGCAACGGCUAACUACGUG
rnacentral:rRNA from 1 species